rnacentral:rRNA from 1 species
UACGAAGGGGGCUAGCGUUGCUCGGAAUCACUGGGCGUAAAGGGUGCGUAGGCGGGUCUUUAAGUCAGGGGUGAAAUCCUGGAGCUCAACUCCAGAACUGCCUUUGAUACUGAAGAUCUUGAGUUCGGGAGAGGUGAGUGGAACUGCGAGUGUAGAGGUGAAAUUCGUAGAUAUUCGGAAGAACACCGGUGGCGAAGGCGGCCCACUGGAUCGGCACUGACGCUGAGGUGCGAAAGCGUGGGGAGCAAACAGG